rnacentral:lncRNA from 1 species
ACCCAACUCCCUUAUUAUAUUUGGUACUUUUGAGAAUAAUGAGAAUUAUCUUUUCUGAACCAGAAAAUAUUCUCUCUUGAAAGUCAGGCUAGAGAGUCCAAGGGACCUCCUCUAGCCACCUUCCAGCACACUUCCUAUUUUCAUUUUCCAUUUUUCCAAUUUUGCACCAUGCUCUCUCACUCAUCCACCGUGGUCAAUUCCUAUGUUGACACCUUUUCAUUGUAUGAGUCAGCUCUCCAUUUCCUUCCUCAAGCACUCGUCAAAGCUCCUGAAGCUCUCUUGAAGCCUCGUCAUUAACACAUCUCCAUUUCGCACAUCUCACCCU